rnacentral:rRNA from 1 species
ACUCAAAGGAAUUGACGGGGGCCCGCACAAGCGGUGGAGCAUGUGGAUUAAUUCGAUGCAACGCGAAGAACCUUACCAGGGCUUGACAUGGAGAUGAAACAUCUAGAGAUAGAUGCCCCUUCGGGCAUCUCACACAGGUGGUGCAUGGUUGUCGUCAGCUCGUGUCGUGAGAUGUUGGGUUAAGUCCCGCAACGAGCGCAACCCUUAUCUUUAGUUUCCAGCAAGUAAAGUUGGGCACACUAGAGAGACUGCCGUGGAUAACACGGAGGAAGGUGGGGAUGAUGUCAAAUCAUCAUGCCCCUUACGUCCUGGGCUUCACACGUGCUACAAUGGUCUUUACAAAGUGAAGCAAGACAGUGAUGUGGAGCGAACCACAAAAAAAGACCCCAGUUCGGAUUGUAGGCUGCAACUCGCCUGCAUGAAGUUGGAAUCGCUAGUAAUCGCGAAUCAGCAUGUCGCGGUGAAUACGUUCCCGGGCCUUGUACACACCGCCCGU